rnacentral:rRNA from 1 species
GACGAACGCUGGCGGCGUGCUUAACACAUGCAAGUCGAACGGAAAGGCCCUGCUUUUGUGGGUUUCUCGAGUGGCGAACGGGUGAGUAACACGUGAGUAACCUGCCCUUGCUUUUGGGAUAACUUCAGGAAACUGGGGCUAAUACCUGAUAGGAGCUCCUGCUGCAUGGUGGGGGUUGGAAAGUUUCGGCGGUUGGGGAUGGACUCGCGGCUUAUCAGCUAGCUGGUUGGGUAGUUGCUUACCAAGGCUUGCACGGGUAGCCGGCCUGAGAGGGUGACCGGGCACAUUGGGACUGAGAUACGGCCCAGAGUCCUACGGGAGGCAGCAGUGGGGAAGAUUGCACAAUGGGCGGAAGCCGGAUGCAGCAACGCCGCGUGAGGGAUGACGGCCUUCGGGUUGUAAACCGCUUUCGCCUGUGACGAAGCGUGAGUGACGGUAAUGGGUAAAGAAGCACCGGCUAACUACGUG